UUAAUCCGCCGGUUUUUUUUCUCUGACGGUUCCCCUCCCCCGUUCCACCGUUUUUUCUCAUCGUGGGCAACGUUCAGUAGCUGCUGAAAACAUCGUGGCGACUGACGAGGAUUCGGUUCGCCCCCUGGACACGGCGCUCCCCCUGCCUCCCCGGCGAGGUGCUCCUGCUCUCCCCCUCGCGCCGCCGGCUCCCGUGCCGCUCCAGCAAGCAGCUGCCUGCUGCACAUGUCCGCGUUGGGCGCCGUUUCAGAGGUACCCUUGGCGCCGCCUGGUUCCCCGCCGAGCCCCUGCGCCGCCGGCGACCUUCCUGUCCCUCCCGUCGAUGUGUCGCUGUUCCGUCCCGUGCCGCCCCGGCGAGCUGGAGACGGUCGCGCCGGGCGCCGACGCCACCCUCCUGCCAUCCCAGUGAGUCUCCCGCUGCCGCGCCGCGUCCUCGAGGUACAAGCCUCCGGCCAUCUCGGUAGCUGUGGAUGAGGUCUCGAAAUUCUUCUGAUGCAAUGGAUCUUCCUGCGAUUUUUGUGCAGUGUUUUAACCCUAUUCCCAAUUCUAAUUUAUAUGCUCCUGCGUGCAGAUCUAAUCAUUGUUUGGCUAUCAAAUCUUUUGUUUAGCAAUGGUUUUUCUUCUUUAUGUUCUUGAGCUUCCCAAUAGAUUGUUUUGUUGAUUGGAUGGCCUUGCUGUGAUGCCUGGAGAGGCUUGCGGCCAGCACGAUGGUGGGAAGCCGCUGAUGAGAUAGAUACUUGCAGAACUGCUGGCGCGGAUGUGGUACAUGCCAGGGAGUUUAUGCACCUGCAGACGGGUUAAUAUAUCAUACAAAUCAGAGGACCAAGAUUUCGUCUGGUGGCUGGACGCCGAGUCAUGUCCAGUGUUACGGCGAACUAAACCAUACAAGGGAGGUCUCUUCACCUAUUUCGUCUGGAUGUUGUCAUCCUUUUGGUACAAUGGAUGGCACCCAGGAUGGCCAAGCAACUUCGAGCAUUUGCUUACAUUACAAGUUCAGCAGGCUGGGACUAGUUAAUUUUCUUUGUUGCUUACUAUUGGGGUUUAUUUGGUUAGAUCAUGGAUGAGAACCAACAAUGGAUCAGUGCAUUAAGCAACACUAAGGAGUUUCUUAAGCUUUCACAUGCUACUUAUUAUCUGAAUACUAGUCUAAAAGAAAAGAAAAUAUCUUUCUUAUGCGUUCUCAUUCUAUUUCUGUAAUUCCAUUAUUACAUAUCAUUCAGAGAAGCAGACCUAAGCUCGAUCUAUUCAAAUGAUGCAUGCUGUUUCUUUCCAGUAUACUGAUAUAUCGAUUCUUCCUAUAGCCAUGCAAUUAAUUAUACAUAAAUGAAAGCAUGCCCUUUAUCUGCUGACUAGCUUUAGAAACAUUGAAGAUUUCUAUUAUUCCUUUUUGACAAGGUUGUAUGCAGUUUUGAGCUCUUCUAUAAAAUAUUAACAUUGGAGAUUAUUUUCUGAACUUUUCAUUGCUGCUUUUUUUUCUAGCAAUGGCAGAAGCAGAGCAGAGGUGAGUGUAUCACAUCAUUUGCUUAAUUGAUUGUAUCACUCGGCAACUUUAAUUAUAAGUAAUCAAGAUUUUUAUAUGAUUUUAUAUUUUUACUUUUAUCAGAAUACUAACUCGGUGCUAGCUUGCAUAGAAUUGAAGUUUUUCCUGAUCGCACAUGCUACUUUGGUUAUAAAACCUAGAGUGUUUAUUACAAAAAUAAUUAAACUGUAAAUUGCAUAGGGUUCAAUUUUUUUUGCUCACACAUGCCACUAUUUACUAACUGGCUGUUGGUUUAGUCAUACCAGUUAGGGUGUGUUUUUGAAAACAGGCUUUAACAUUGUAUGUAGAAGUAAAUUCUACAUUCCACGCACCAUGAAUUCUCUGUCCACGGUAUGGUCCACCAGUAGAGUUUAGAAAAGAUUUCUGGCAUCUAUACAACAACAACAACAACAUUUCUGGCAUCUAUAAUGUUGAGAAUUAGUUUCCUCAUUCCAAUAAGCUGAAAUUCUUAUGUUCUUAUACUCUGUUUAGUUUGGUUCCAACAUGAUGGAUGCAAUGCAGAAAGUACUUUUUUGUGCGAGUUUAAGAUUUAUACUGUUAUAUGCCUUGCUUCCAUCCUCACGAAUGUAAUUACUAAUGUAGGCACAGUAUUCAGCAACUCUAUGCCUUUGCUAAAUAAUACUAUAUGAUGACAUUACAAACUAA